UGGAGUUUAGAUGCAGUGGUGAAUCUUUCUCCUUUCUUAGAAUAAUCUCCUGGAAGCAGAGGAGGAUUUGCCAUGCACAGAGAUAAAUAUAAUCUCUGGAUAAGCGCUCUUACUGAUGCUGAUAUUAACACAAAUGGGCUGUCACUUCCAAGGACAAACCUGAACACAUCCAGAGCUAUGCCAGAGCUGGGCAUGGUGGUACAUGCCUGCAGUCCUAACACUUGGGAAACUGAGACAGGAAGAUGGAGAAUUCAAGACCAGGCUUUAUUUACAUUGUGAAUUUGAGGUAACCCUCAGUUACUUGGUGAGACCCAUCUCAAAAUAACCAAAUAGGGACUGUAGAAAUGGCUCAGCUAACAAGAGUGUGCUUCCACAGAUUGUCCUCUGACUUCCAGAGAGAGAUGCUGCGGCAUGUACAUAUAUGUAAGUAUAUAGACAGAUGAAUAAAUAAGUUAAAAAAUGUCAUUGCCUAUUCAUUAUUCUGACAUCUCAAAUUUACCCUGGCUCUCUAAUAAUGAGGUGAAGGGAGCUGGAAAGAAGUGGUGGAUGCUGUGACUCCACUGCUCUGAAGGUGGAAGCAGGGAGAUUGCAAGUGAAAAGCCAGACAGAAAUGCCAUAGGGAAACUGGUUCAAAGAAAUGGAAACAUCCAGGCAUGCUGGUGCAGCCCUAAUCCCAGCACUCAGGUGGAGGACCAAGGUUUGGUUCGAAGAACCCACAUGGCAGCUCACAACUGUUUGGAAUUCCAGUUCUAAGGAGUCUGGUGCCCUCUUGUGAGUUCUGUGGGUACUCAGACACACACAUAGUACACAGAUAGACAUGCAGGUAAACAUGCAUCUAAAGUGGAAAAAGUGAUGUUCCGUUCUUUCUGUUUUUUAAAAAUAAGUUUUUAGCUGGGUGGUGGUGAAUGCCUUUAAUCCCAGCACUCGGGAGGUAGAGGCCAACCUGGUCUACAAAGCGAGUUCUAGCACAGACUCCAAAGCUACACAGAGAAACCCUGUCUCGAGAAACCAAAAAGGUUUUAAAGAUUUUAUUUAUUUAUUUAUUUGUGUAUAUGUGUUUGUGUGUGUGGCUGCAGAGGCCAGAAGAGGUUGUCCAUACCUUGAAGCUGGAGUUACAGGGAGUUGUAAGUCACCUUCUACGGGAACUCAGUUUAGGUCCUCUGGAAGAGCAUCAAGUCACUUAAGUUCUGAUCCCUGGCCCCUUCCUUUCUUUGGGCAGGGUUUCAUAUAUGCCAGGCUGACAUCCAACUUUAUAUAUAGCUGAGCACGACCUUGAACUUCUGAUCCUCCUUCCUCGACUUCUGGGACUAAAGUUCUAUACCACUCCACACAGCUUUAAAAAUGUAUGUGUGUCUAUCACACGUGUAUAGACCAGAAGAGGGUGUAAGAUCCACUGGAGCUGGAAUUAAAGGCAGUUGUGCUCCCAACAUGGGUACCAGGAACUGAAUUCAGGACGUCUGGAAGAGCAGUUCACACUUUUAGCUGCUGAGCAAUCUUCCCAAGUCCAGAGCAAACAUUCUGAAAGAUUUGACGACUGUUGCUGAUCUGCUGUCUGUGUGUUUAUAUGUGAAGGGUUAGUAUAGACCGAAGCUAACACUGAGUUUCUAAUUUGGGCAACUGGUGAUACCACCACCUGUGCCAAGAAAUUUAAACACUGAAGGUUGGAGAAAAGAGUUGAGUUUGGACAUGGUGUAAGUUAGUGCACUUGGCUACAAGCAAAAGAAGACACAACCAAGAAUGGCGUAAGCAUCAAAGAAUGUUUUAACAGGUCUGAAGUUGGUUCCUAAAGGACUGAAGAAACACCUCAUGAUGUCAUGUUUGUUGUGUGUUUAUUUAUAUUACAGUUGCAGAGCCUGACACAGCUAAAGCUGCCCUGAGACGUCAGUUCAAGGAAGAAUGAGAGAGAGAGAGUUGCUGGUCGGAUCUGUUCUCUGUAUCAAGAGAAGUUUUCCCAGCUGAGUAUGGUGACUCAUACCUAUAAUCCAUCAUUUGGGAGAUGGAGGCAGGAGGAUCACCUCAAAUUCAAGGAUGCCAGAAGGCACAUCCAAGGAACAGUGGACAUGACAGGGAAGGAAAAAAAGAUGAAAGAGGAGAUCCUUUCCCUGUGUUAGAAGGGGCCAGAAGACAUAUCUGUCAAGUAAGAAUUCUAAUAAAAUGGUCUCUGGACAGGGUGGAACUGAGGGUGGACUGUGAAGAAAGUACUUGAUUUUCUUCCCUUGAACUCUAGGGCAUUCAACUGUUCCUGCACAGGAAGAUUCCUUUUUACUAAAGUCUUCUUUGUAUUCCUAGCCAACUGAAAACUAAAUUCACUGAAACAAAGCAAGAUCAUCAGUAUAGAAUAACAAGACCUGGGUAGGCAGUACUGACACAGGAGUGGGGCCAGCCUGGGCCACAGGAUACAUGAGACCCUAAUUUGAAAUGAUAAAAACAGUACGAAUUUGAUCUCCUGUGAAACAGUCACUCCCACCCCUGGAACAAACAAGCUCCACUUAAAAUACAUAGAAAGAUACAGAAUGCCAAGUAAUAAUGUGGUCAACUGAAGAGUGGAAAACACUUGUCUGGUCACAGAGCACUUAACUGAGAUGGAUUACUAGAGGGCCAAUGUUGCAAAGCUCCAUAUGUUGGCAGGUCACUUGAAAAACCUUCUUCCAACCUGAGACUAUUCUCACAUGUUUCAGGUUUCCCCAAACUUAUAUCUGAAGAUGUUUCUUUAGGCUGAUGGUCUAUGUUGAGAUCCUUUGUUUCCACAAAAUGAGAUUACUGAGUUGGCAUCACAAAGAUGAUUGGUGUCUUAGAUUUUUGGCCCAUUCUAGACAAGGCCUAAGGUGCCGAUUUGUAGAGGGGACAGUGGCAAAAUCUGAUGUUGGAACUACUAUCUCAGCAUGUUUUUCUGUUUGACAAGAAAUGAAGUUCCAUAUGGAAGACCUGAUGAUAUACAACCCAGUGAAUCUGGUGUCUGAUGUGAGAUUCCUGGUGAAACCCUGUAAUGACAGCUGAGUAGCAAUGCUUCCUCAUAUUUCAAAGCAAAGUCUCUUGCUUAUAAGAAUAUUAAGAAUAUAAUAAUAAGAAAAUCUCUGUGUUUGACGCCAGCCUGGUCUACACAGUGAGUUCCAGGACAGCCAAAAAUACUUUGUGAGACUCCAUUUUAAAAAAAUAAACAAAAAAAAAUUAGGGGGAGAAUAAAUAAAUCACAGAUUCUUACUGUAAUUUUAAAAGGGGGUAGGAGUGACUAGUUACACAGUUUUAAAUGAGAAAGGGCAAAAAUCCAAGUUAAUAUUAAUUCUAGACACCGCAACCGAGUAUAACACUAAUAACCUGUAUUUGAGGACAGCCAUCAAAACGUAAUACCUUGCCUUUUAAGCUCAGAAAAGGCAGGUGUCCUACUUUGUUUUCUGUUGCCGUGACCAAAAGCAACUUGAGAGAGGAAAAGGCUUCCACUUCCACACAACAGUGAAGCACCAGGGAAGCCAGAGCAGGGACUCAAGGCAAGAACUUGAGACAGAAACCACAGCAAAACGCUGCUUUCAGGCUUGUUGAGCUACUUUUCUUAUAUAGCCCAGGCCUCCAGUCUAGAGAUUUGCACUGCCACAGUGGGUUAGACCCUUCUCCAAAAAUUAACAACGGAAAAAAAAAUGUCCAGACAUGACCAGAAGUCAAUCUGAUGGAGGAAAUUUCUCAUUUGAGGUUCCCUCUUUCCAGGCGACUCUAGUUUGUGUUAGGUUGAUAAGAACUAACCAGCACAGUAGGAAUGUGUGUUCAAAAUACUACAGAGAGAGCAGAGUUACUCCUACUUGGAUACAGCAGUUGGGAAGGAUUAGAUAAAUAAAUGAAGCUAUAGAGAACGGGACUUAAGUAUCAGGUACUCAUCAGAGUUUGGAAUCAUGGUCCUAUGUCAUUACAUUGACAUGCUCCCAAUCAGUUAACAUCACUUUUUCCAGACAGGGACUGAUAUUCUAAACCUACUUUCCAUCUGGGAAGGAGUGUAAAAGGGGAAGGAAAUUUGCAUUUUUAAAUAUCUACAUGGCAGGAGUUUUGUGUACUCCGCUACCCUUCAUGGUUAGUUGAUGGUUCGUGGUUAGUGAACUGACACUUAAACUGUUGUUUUCCUCCCGACACACAGACUCGUGCAUUACUUCCUCAUAGCCUGUGUGUGUCACUCAUCUUCCACCCAGAACCACAGGCGAAGAGAAGCCCAAGGGAAAAUACUUUAGGAAAAUUAUCUGCAGAACCGAUCAAUUUUAUAUAAAUGGUGAAGACUACGCAUACAUGUUUUAGUCAAAUUCAAGAUCAUUACUUUCCAGCCGUCUAUAAUAUCAUCUUCUGAUGUUUCUAGAACAAUGUAGUGGCUGUCUAUUGUUUAUAGCUGCAACCAUCCACUUAACUUCGGUAACACCUUUACUAUCCUUUGAGAAACUCUCACCUUCAGUUUAUGUGUUUCCAGGUGCAAGGUAAGUACCUGACCUGUCAAUCAUCAUAGAGAACACUCAUUGGCCAUAAAAUGGACGGAUGAGUAAGGUCUAGUUUUUGUUUUUUGUUUUUAAUUGAAAAGGGAUAUUACAGCUGGGCAGUGGUGGGGCACACCUUUAAUUACAAAACUAUUUGUUUUCUCCAAGUACAUAAUGGAUUUAGGUACCCCAUGAGUUCAAAGCUAGCCAGGGCUACAUGGGACCCUGUCUCAACAACAAUAAAAAAUUAUCUGUUAUUUUUCAAAAUUUCUUGACUGUUAUAAUGUACUUUAAUUACUAGAUAUUAAAUGUUACCCUACAACAUACAGUACAAUAUGUUAAAUUAAAAAACUCAAAUGGGCUGGGUGGUGGUGGUGCAUGCCUUUAAUCCCAGGACUCGGGAGGCAGAACCAGAUGGAUCUCUGUGAGUUCGAGGCCAGCCUGGUCUACAGAGCGAGAUCCAGGACAGGCACCAAAACUACACAGAGAAACCCUGUCUCGAAAAACCAGAAAAACUCAAGUGGAGGGCUGGAGAGAUGGCUUAGCUGUUUAAGAGCACUGGCUGCUCUUCCAGAGGGCUUGGGUUCAAUUCCCAGCAACCACAUGGCAGCUCACAGGUGUCUGUAACUCCUCUUCCAGAGGAUCUGAUUGCCCCACACAGACAUACUUGCAGGCAAACACCAAUGUAUAUAAAAUAAAAUAAAUUAUUUUUAAAAACUCAAAUAGGAAAAAAUAAAGAAAAAGAAAAUCCAGAAUCAGGCCACACACACAAAGGAAGAAGCACUUCAGCUGGGCACAGUGGGAAACAGCUUUAAUCCCAGGGAGAGGUAGUCCAAUUUCUAGAGUUUUAGGCCAGCUAGUCUACAUAGAGACUUCUAAGCCAGCCAGAGUUACAUAGUGAGACCCUGUUUCAAAAUAACGAUGAUGAUGAAAUUAAUAAAAGAUGCAGGUCAAAUCAACAACAAAAGGACAGGUCACUCCUAGGGCGGCAGACAGCACUAACUAAGCAGACCAGCCAUUCAGCUGAAUGCAGAUAAGGCUUUGACUUGUCUUUCUCCAUAUGGUACUCAGGACAACCACCAUCAAUCACCAAACUUGGUGUACAAAAGGACUAACAAAUAAUGCUGAGACAAUCAGUUGAAAAAAAUGAAGUUUUUUUUUUUCAGUUUUUCACUCCACUGUACACUUUAUGCCAAAAUAAAAUGUACAUAAAAAGUUAAACAGAACAGAUGGCUCCACUGGUAAAAGGUUCUCGCUUCACAAGGCUGGAGACCUGGUUCAGAUCCUGAAGAACCCAUGGAAAGAUAGGAGAAAACUGACUUUACAAAGUUUUCCUCGCCGGGCGGUGGUGGCGCACGCCUUUAAUCCCAGCACUCGGGAGGCAGAGGCAGGCGGAUCUCUGUGAGUUCGAGGCCAGCCUGGUCUACAGCGCAAGAUCCAGGAAAGGCGCAAAGCUAC